rnacentral:rRNA from 1 species
AGUGAACGCUGGCGGUAGGCCUAACACAUGCGAGUCGAACGGCAGCACAGUAAGAGCUUGCUCUUACGGGUGGCGAGUGGCGGACGGGUGAGGAAUACAUCGGAAUCUACUUUUUCGUGGGGGAUAACGUAGGGAAACUUACGCUAAUACCGCAUACGACCUACGGGCGAAAGCAGGGGAUCUUCGGACCUUGCGCGAUUGAAUGAGCCUAUGUCGGAUUAGCUAGUUGGCGGGGUAAAGGCCCACCAAGGCGACGAUCCGUAGCUGGUCUGAGAGGAUGAUCAGCCACACUGGAACUGAGACACGGUCCAGACUCCUACGGGAGGCAGCAGUGGGGAAUAUUGGACAAUGGGCGCAAGCCUGAUCCAGCCAUACCGCGUGGGUGAAGAAGGCCUUCGGGUUGUAAAGCCCUUUUGUUGGGAAAGAAAAGCAGCAGGUUAAUACCCCGCUGUUCUGACGGUACCCAAAGAAUAAGCACCGGCUAACUUCGUG